rnacentral:rRNA from 1 species
CCACAGUGGUGUUGACGGGUAACGGGGAAUUAGGGUUCGAUUCCGGAGAGGGAGCCUGAGAGACGGCUACCACUUCUAAGGAAGGCAGCAGGCGCGCAAAUUACCCACUGGCCGAAGGCCGAGGUAGUGACGAAAAAUAACGAUACCGGACUCAUCCGAGGCCCGGUAAUCGGAAUGAGUACACUUUAAAUCCUUUAACGAGGAACCAUUGGAGGGCAAGUCUGGUGCCAGCAGCCGCGGUAAUUCCAGCUCCAAUAGCGUAUAUUAAAGUUGUUGCGGUUAAAAAGCUCGUAGUUGGAUCUCAGCAGGCAGGGGGCGGUGCGUUUUUUGACGCGACUGCCUGUUUUGCCUGCGACUUUUCUCGGUGGAGUCGACCGGGUGCUCUUUAUUGAGUGUCCGUUUUGUCGGGCCACCAGGUUUACUUUGAAAAAAUUAGAGUGCUCCAAGCAGGCCGCAUACGCCUGAAUACUCGUGCAUGGAAUAAUGGAAUAGGACGUCGUUCCUAUUUUGUUGGUUUUCGGGAAUCGACGUAGUGAUUAAUAGGGACAGCCGGGGGCAUUAGUAUUCAGACGACAGAGGUGAAAUUCUUGGACCGUCUGAAGACUGACGACUGCUAAAGCAUUUGCCAAGAGUGUUUUCAUUAAUCAAGAACGAAAGUUAGAGGUUCGAAGGCGAUCAGAUACCGCCCUAGUUCUAACCAUAAACGAUGCCAGCUAGCGAUCCGUGGGCGUUUUCCUUGUAGGCCCCAUGGGCAGCUUCCGGGAAACCAAAGCGUUUGGGUUCCGGGGGAAGUAU